rnacentral:rRNA from 1 species
GAACUUUCCAGAGAUGGAUUGGUGCCUUCGGGAACUGUGAGACAGGUGCUGCAUGGCUGUCGUCAGCUCGUGUUGUGAAAUGUUGGGUUAAGUCCCGCAACGAGCGCAACCCUUAUCCUUUGUUGCCAGCGGUCCGGCCGGGAACUCAAAGGAGACUGCCAGUGAUAAACUGGAGGAAGGUGGGGAUGACGUCAAGUCAUCAUGGCCCUUACGACCAGGGCUACACACGUGCUACAAUGGCGCAUACAAAGAGAAGCGACCUCGCGAGAGCAAGCGGACCUCAUAAAGUGCGUCGUAGUCCGGAUUGGAGUCUGCAACUCGACUCCAUGAAGUCGGAAUCGCUAGUAAUCGUGGAUCAGAAUGCCACGGU